AGGACGAACGCUGGCGGCGUGCUUAACACAUGCAAGUCGAGCGGAAAGGCCCUUCGGGGUACUCGAGCGGCGAACGGGUGAGUAACACGUGAGUAAUCUGCCCCUAGCUCUGGGAUAGCUCCGGGAAACCGGGAUUAAUACCAGAUACGACCACUUUUAGACAUCUGCUGUGGUGGAAAGAAUUUCGGCUAGGGAUGAGCUCGCGGCCUAUCGGCUUGUUGGUGAGGUAACGGCUCACCAAGGCGACGACGGGUA
rnacentral:rRNA from 1 species